CGGUAUCAGUUCUUUCUCUGGAGGAGGAGAUCGUGCUUCAUCAUGAGUCCUCUGGCAUUGUCUUGGAUCGUCGUAUGGCCGAGAGUAGGCUUCCUUCAAAUUGUGGUUGUGGACGUGCCAUUUCAUCCAUGAGAAACAGCAAAAAAACGCCACUUCAUUGACUUACAAGGAAACUUCCAAUCUUCUUUAAGGCUUCAGACUGGAACCAAGACCCCACUACACUCACAGCAUCAGAGCCACACAGAUGCUGCUGCUGCUUCUGAACUUCCUCUUCAGGCCACAACCCAAGGCCUGCAACCCCUCCUCACUCAGCCCCGGAUCUACGACCCAGAAGUGGAGCGUGAGCAACA